rnacentral:rRNA from 1 species
CCUACGGGAGGCAGCAGUGAGGAAUAUUGGUCAAUGGACGAAAGUCUGAACCAGCCAAGUAGCGUGAAGGAUGACUGCCCUAAGGGUUGUAGACUUCUUUUAUCUGGGAAUAAAAUGUCCGACGCGUGGGAUUCUGUAUGUACCAUAUGAAUAAGGAUCGGCUAACUCCGUGCCAGCAGCCGCGGUAAUACGGAGGAUCCGAGCGUUAUCCGGAUUUAUUGGGUUUAAAGGGUGCGUAGGUGGAUGGUUAAGGCAGUUGUGAAAGUCUGCGGCUCAAACGCAAAAUUGCAGUUGAAACUGGCAGUCUUGAGUACGGUAGAGGUGGGCGGAAUGCGUGGUGUAGCGGUGAAAUGCUUAGAUAUCACGAAGAACUCCGAUUGCGAAGGCAGCUCACUGUACUGCAACUGACACUGAGGCACGAAAGUGUGGGUAUCAAACAGGAUUAGAUACCCGUGUAGUC